AUUGAACGCUGGCGGCAGGCCUAACACAUGCAAGUCGAACGGGUGGCGGACGGGUGAGUAAUGUCUGGGCAACUGCCAGAUGGAGGGGGACAAGUACUGGACACUGUAGCUAAUACCGCCUACAUGAGGAUGUGCCCAGAUGGGAUUAGCUAGUAGGUGGGGUAAUGGCACACCUCGGCGACGAUCCCUAGCUGGUCUGAGAGGAUGACCAGCCACACUGGAACUGAGACACGGUCCAGACUCCUACGGGAGGCAGCAGUGGGGAAUAUUGCACAAUGGGCGCAAGCCUGAUGCAGCCAUGCCGCGUGUAUGAAGAAGGCCUUCGGGUUGUAAAGUACUUUCAGCGAGGAGGCGUUACCCGCAGAAGAAGCACCGGCUAACUCCGUGCCAGCCGCCGCGGUAAUAC
rnacentral:rRNA from 1 species